rnacentral:lncRNA from 1 species
GUUACGAGUAGAAAUUUGAGACAAGUAGGGUAAACCACAAAAAAUGAGGUUCAGUAACUUAGCCAAUACAGAUGAAAACAUUCUCCCCAUAAGAGUUGAAAACAAGAACAGGAAGGGAGACAAGAAAAAAGGCACCCUCAAGGGCGGAAAGAGAAAGAAACCUAGAUGAAAUUAAGCAACAAAUACAGCCACAAGCCAAAAACCAUAGUCUCUAAAGAGUAUAGUUAAAGAAAAACAAGAGAAAAUCAUACUAGGAAGAGCAAAAACAAAAAAAAAAGGAGGAAAUACCAAAAAGCAAGCAUCUGAAAGACAUACACAGAGAACCCAUAAAGAAAAAAGCACCAAGAAGACGACCCAAUCAACGGAGUUAGUAAACUUACUCUCCACGUUUUUUAGCAGAAACGAAGACCAAAAAUGGCGGAGAGAGAAAGAGAAGCGCGGGGAUUGGACACUGAAAGAAGAGUUUUAGCCACCUGUGCAGCUCAAUUGUGAAACAGACAAAGAAAAAGGUGGCCGAUGAUGAUGAUAAUGAGGCUCAAAUGAAAUACUAAAAUCUAAAUUCUUCCCAAUAUUCUCUCUCUAUCUCCAUCUUUUGACAAAAUAUUAAAUACCAUUUAAAGAGCAGAAUAAAGCAAAACACAAUUACAACAGUGUGAUCAAAGUCAAAAAUACUGAUCCAACAUUAAAUUAAGCAAGCAGUAAACUUGUAAGAAUUACUGUAAGAACAACUUGCAGAAUCUGCAAAUUUAAAUUAAAAGUGAUUUGUUUUAUAUCAUCAUCAGCUUCUCUGACUAAAAUGAAAAGCAUCCUUCUAAGCUAAGCUAAACUCAUCUUUUCUGUCUCAAGAUUGGACUGCUUUUCUAUCAGAUUAGCACACAGUUUUUUUAAUCUUGACACUGCAUUAAAGUCUGUCUCAGACGGAGAUUAGUCACGAACAGAUGAUUAAUUUAAGGGCAUAUUUUUCUACAUCAAUCUAUUUUGUAUUUCCAAAGACAACUAAUCAUAGCUUAAUGAAGAAAAGUAAGACAUACAUAUAUAUAUACAUAACACUAAAAAAAUAAACGUUGAGGGAUGAGUUAUGGAUUAGAUGUUGAGAUUUGUUCCUCAGAAUCAAGGAGACGUGCUUGACCGCACAAGUGUGCGAGAAGAAGUGGCUGGGUAGUUGGCGGGUCUUGUAAGCUGUAACUCUCAAUUCUCAUAUGCUGACAAAAAAUAGUUUUAAUUAUUUCAUAA